UGCUUGUGUGCGUUUGUUCAACUUUUGGACAAAGACAAAAUGAGACACAGAUGCGAAGAUGAGUCUUUCACAACCCCAAACUCAUUAUUCAGUAUAAGUUUUGAUACGUAUAAUAAGGAAUU